rnacentral:rRNA from 1 species
GAUGAACGCUGGCGGCGUGCCUAAUACAUGCAAGUCGAGCGAACAGACGAGGAGCUUGCUCCUCUGACGUUAGCGGCGGACGGGUGAGUAACACGUGGAUAACCUACCUAUAAGACUGGGAUAACUUCGGGAAACCGGAGCUAAUACCGGAUAAUAUAUUGAACCGCAUGGUUCAAUAGUGAAAGACGGUUUUGCUGUCACUUAUAGAUGGAUCCGCGCCGCAUUAGCUAGUUGGUAAGGUAACGGCUUACCAAGGCAACGAUGCGUAGCCGACCUGAGAGGGUGAUCGGCCACACUGGAGCUGAGACACGGUCCAGACUCCUACGGGAGGCAGCAGUAGGGAAUCUUCCGCAAUGGGCGAAAGCCUGACGGAGCAACGCCGCGUGAGUGAUGAAGGUCUUCGGAUCGUAAAACUCUGUUAUUAGGGAAGAACAAAUGUGUAAGUAACUAUGCACGUCUUGACGGUACCUGAUCAGAAAGCCACGGCUAACUACGUG